GCCACACUGGGACUGAGACACGGCCCAGACUCCUACGGGAGGCAGCAGUAGGGAAUCUUCCGCAAUGGGCGAAAGCCUGACGGAGCAACGCCGCGUGAGUGAUGAAGGUUUUCGGAUCGUAAAGCUCUGUUGCCAGGGAAGAACGACCGUUAGAGUAACUGCUAACGGAGUGACGGUACCUGAGAAGAAAGCCCCGGCUAACUACGUGCCAGCAGCCGCGGUAAUACGUAGGGGGCAAGCGUUGUCCGGAAUUAUUGGGCGUAAAGCGCGCGCAGGCGGU
rnacentral:rRNA from 1 species